CCUACGGGUGGCAGCAGUGAGGAAUAUUGGUCAAUGGACGCGAGUCUGAACCAGCCAAGUCGCGUGAGGGAUGACUGCCCUAUGGGUUGUAAACUUCUUUUAUCUGGGAAUAAAAUGUUCCACGUGUGGGAUUUUGAAUGUACCAUAAGAAUAAGGAUCGGCUAACUCCGUGCCAGCAGCCGCGGUAAUACUGAGGAUCCGAGCGUUAUCCGGAUUUAUUGGGUUUAAAGGGGGCGUAGGUGGAUUGUUAAGUCAGUUGUGAAAGUUGGCGGCUCAACCGUAAAAGUGCAGUUGAAACUGGCAGUCUUGAGUAAAGUAGAGGUGGGCGGAAGUCGUGGUGUAGCGGUGAAAUGCUUAGAUAUCACGAAGAACUCCGAUUGCGAAGGCAGUUCACUGGACUGCAACUGACACUGAGGCUCGAAAGUGUGGGUAUCAAACAGGAUUAGAUACCCGGGUAGUC
rnacentral:rRNA from 1 species